AAAUGAUUAUUAUUCUUCAAGAAGAAAUCCACUAACAGCAUCCUUUUCAGAAUGAAGAUCUGAAAAGGAAGAGAUUAUCUCCUCUUUAAUGCUGUAUCCCAAAGCCUAGAAGAACCAGAGACUUACUAGCUAAUCAAUAAAUAUUGCUGAGUAAAUAAAUGACAGACAUUUGCAUGCAGGCCUCAAGGAGCAGCUGAAGUGAUAGAGGUAGAAUGAGGCAAUAAAUUAUUAGCAAAGAGAGCGGAGUAUUUACAGGCAGCGAUAUACUAAUGAACCUAAAAAUUUGGAGAAUAUUUGGAAAAAUAAAAGAGCUUGCAUCCCUGGAAUGCAACGAAAAGAAAAGUGCUCAAAAAGUGAUAAUAUACACAGUGUCAAUUUGUUCACUGCUUUUUUGGAAUGUUUGAAAUUUAUUACAUCAUGGAUUGAACUUAGACUCCGGAGAACAUUUCUGAAGUCCUCUGAGUAAGCUUCUUGAAGCACCCUUCACUAGACUAGAGGAUGAUGAAUGAUUCAAAGUAUAACUAAUUGAGAAAAAUAUGUCAAAGAGGGACCAACAAGAAAAGCCAAACAUACAUCCCUAAUCAAUCGCACAGAAUGCCUGCUUCUCAUUAACCCGCCUAGACCUCCCCAUGCCCACCGCCUCCAAUGAGGUAAUACUUGAAGCCUUGC